UCCAGCASCGCKGUAUAGAAGGACUAGCKUAGUYGGAUUACKGGYUAAAGAGUUGUAGUGGUGAAAAGUUAGUGUGAAUCCCAGAGCUAACUMGGAACUGCCAUUAAACUUUCAGCUWGAGUUGAUAGAGGAAWGCAGAAUUUYUAGUGUAGAGGUGRAAUUCGUAGAUWUWGAAWGAAUACCAAUWGMGAWGGCAGCUUUCUSGAUCAUAACUGACAYUGAGGAACGAAWGCAUGGUAGCGAAGAGGAUUAGAUACCYUCGUGUCCAUGCCGUAAACGAUGUGURUUAGACGUUGGAAAUUAUUUUCAGUGUCGCAGGGAAACCGAUAAACACACCGCCUGGGGAGUACGACCGCAAGGUUAAAACUCAAWUGAAUUGACGGGGACCCGCACAAGUAGUGGAGCAUGUGGUUUAAUUCGAAGAUACGCGCAGAACCUUACCAACACUUGACAUKUUCGUCGCGACUCUAAGAGAUUAGAGUUUUCGGUUCGGCCGGACGAAACACAGGUGCUGCAUGGCWGUCGUCAGCUCGUGUCGUGAGAUGUUGGGUUAAGUCCCGCAACGAGCGCAACCCUCACUUUUAGUUGCCAUCAUUAAGUUGGGCACUCUGAAAGAACUGCCAGUGAUAASCUGGAYGAAGSUGGGGAUGACGUCAAGUCCUCAUGGCCCYUACGUGUUGGGCUACACACGUGCUACAAUGGUAUCUACAACAGGAAGCAAGACUGCGAAGUUAAGCAAAUCCCUAAAAGAUACCUCAGUUCGGAUUGCACUCUGCAACUCGAGUGCAUGAAGCUGKAAUUACUAGUAAUCGUGGAUCAGCGUGCCACGGUGAAUGCGUUCCCGGGUCUUGUACACACCGCCCGUCACACCAUGGGAGUUGGUUCUACCU
rnacentral:rRNA from 1 species